GCCGACGUCGGGGGCGGGAGGGAGGGGCGGCACGCGGGUCGGGCAGGCACGAGGCUUCCGGCCGCUGCAAGGCCUGACAGGGCUGAGGAGGGCGUCGCGGCCGGGGGCGGGGUCGCCGUCUGUCCGCUCCGCCCUGCUCCUCUUGUCUUCCAGCAGAAGCGCAAGAGCGAGCCCUGGUGGGCCGCGCCGAGGAUGCACUGGGAGCGUCUCCUGUAGGGUCACCCGGCAUUCUCCGCCCGGGCAGCCCUUCCCGCCAAAACCUCUCCCUCAGCGGACUGCAGCGCUAAAUUUGGAGCCCGAAGAGCACCGUGGCUGAGCAACGCACUGCUCACAGCCUCUUUUCUUUGUGUUCUUUUUAGCUCCCUUCUCGGUACUAUAUACGUCUUUCCACUUUUUGACAUCUCUGAGGAUUUCUAUUCACAGCAGUCAGUCACUUGCAAAAAAAGGAAAAAAAAAAUGCCAGCGCUGAAGAGAUGAUUAAGUCCGGAAUUCGGAACUCCUAAGAGGCUUUGAAGCCUGGAACUUCUGCAUCAUAGGCAGAGUUUUGCUUAGUUGAGCCUGUCUCUGGGGAGAGGUGACCCUGUAUUAUCCUAAAAGGCUUUGGGAACUUGUAAACGGUUAAAAGGUACCUAAUCCGAUUUGUUUCCAGAUGAUGGAGCAGGCUGCUAGAACGAAGGGAGUUGCCAACGUCGCACAGGUAAUGCUAGAAUUCUAAUUAUAACCCAUCACACUGGUCUUCCGUAUGGUGGACCUAAGUAAACAGCAACAUUUUAAUAUCUUGAAAUAUAUUAUGUGUGUCCAGACCUUGGUUCCUGGGUACCCAUUGUCCAUUAAAAGAAACUCAAUUCAUUGGAAGUAAUGACUGAGUCCAAGGCAGACAGGGCAAUUCUAAGAUGAUCUAAGAUCUUAUCUGAGUAAACAAGGGGAUCUUUUGUAUACGACAGGAAGGAUAUGUCAAAAGAGAAGACAGUUUGAAGGGACCCACCACUGACAAAUCUGAGCCAAUCUAAAUAUCAAAAAGAACAAUUUUAGAAAUACACUAUAACAUAUUACUUUUACAUUUCAUUUUGUGUAGAAGUCAGAGGACAGGGUGUGUGAGUUGGUUCUAGCCUUCCACUGUGGCCCUAGGGAUAGUCACUGUAGGUAACUUGAUCCAAUGUGCCAUCUCUUAGGCACUACAUUGCUUUUUUGUGUUGUCAUUUUGUUUUGUUUUGUUUUGUUUUUUAAACAGCGUCUCACUAUGUAGCCUUAGGUAACCUGUAACUUGCCACAUAGGCCAGGCUGGCUCAUACCUAACAGAGAUGUCUCCCGAGUGCUGAGAUUAAAAGCAGGUAUCACCAUUCCCAACCCACAUUAAAAACUUAAAAGGAGCCCAUACCUCAUAUUUUCACUUUAACUUUUUAAAGACAGGCUCUCAGAAAUAUGAUAUAUGUGAUAAGCCCUACUAAAUCUCUAUUCCCACCCACCCCCUCCUCUAACUGAGGAAACUCAAAACUCAGAACUGUACACAUGCUAGGCAAGUAUUGUAGCACUGAGCUAUGUUCCCGGGAGGGAUAAAUGAGAGGAGGACGCAAGUAGAAAUUAUCAAAUCACCAUUUUGUGGUUGUUAUAGUAAUAAUUGGUUCAGAAAAGAAUUAUCGAUAGGUGUUAAAGUCAGUGGGUGAAAUUUGACUGGGGAAUGGGGUAUUUAUACAGUCUCAAAAUACCUUUGGAUUUUGAAAAAUAUCAUUGGGAAGGGUUACCAGAGGCUAACAAAUUCCAGUGAAGAAGUCUGACAGGCGCUUUCCUGAUGAAAUGAUCCAAGUUACUCGUUGGACUAAAGUAACACACAAGGUCAUCUGAUCCGAGGUACCCAGGAGACAGCUCUGAAGUGUACAUAUUCUGUAAAAAGUAAAAGUACAUAUUCUGGGAAAAGUUUUCAAUUAGCAAUAAUCGUGCCUUGGAUAAACCUCAUUGGCUAUGAUACUGCCACUGUGCAAUCUGUCACAAAGGAACAAACCAGAAACAUGUAAACUGCGCAAACCUACCCCCUAAUUAUUCUGCACACUUAAAGAUGCCAUUGUCCUGAAAGAAAGGCUGGGGAAGAAUUUUAGAUUUACGGUCUUAAGAGACAUGCCACUACAGGUGCUAGAAAAACAUGGUACCAAGGAAUACUAUCAGGGCAGUAGUUGAAAAUGGAAUUGGAUGCAUAUUAGAUAAAAGUAUUCUUCCAAUGUUGAUUCCUUUAAAGAUUUAUUUUACUUUUAGUGAUGUGUAUGUGUGGGUAUUUAUGUGCACGUAUGAAUGCAGACGCCCAUAGUGUCCCCAAAAGCGAUUAUAGGUGGUGUUGAGGCCCUUGGUGUGGGUGCUGGGAACUGAACUCAGGUCCUCUAUAAGCACAGUACUUCCUUUUAACUCCUGAGCCAUCUCUCCAGCCCUUAGUGCUAGGUUUCUUGAUUCUAAUCAUUGCACUGUAUUAUGAAAGAAAGUAUCCUAAUUAAGAAAUACACACUGACGUGUCGAUGGAUAAAAGCUUGUGAUGUAGGCCACUUGUCCUCGAAUAGUUUAGCAAAGGUAGAGAAUGACGAAGGUGGGAAGUGCUAAGCUGAAUCCAGGCAAAGGGCAGUUCAUUGUUGUUCUUAUGACUCUUCUGUAGGUUUGCUUUUUCAUGGAAAUUAGUAUAUAUGCGUUUUAUAGACACAUUUUACAUUUAAUUAAUUUAUUUGUGUGUAUGUGUGUGGUGUGUGUGUUCCAAGCACCCAUGCACCACAGCAGGUGUGUAGAGGGAAAGGAUUACUUUCUGUAUUCUCAUUCCACUUCUCAUCAGCCUUAGUCAUGGAAUAUCUGCCCCCUCUCUGUUUAUGUAUGUUACUAGGUGUGUGUGUGUGUGUGUGUGUGUGUGUGUGUGUGUGUGUGUGUGUGGUGUGUUGCUAGGAAUUGAACCCAGGGCUUUGUAUACGCUGGCCAGAUAUCUACUUCUGACCCACAUUACCAACUCUGAUCACUUUUAGUGCAGGGCUUGCUGGCUGCUAAGCUAUCCACUGCUCUUUGUGUUUCGAUCUUUAAUUCUCCCCAAUAGUUCUGUGCCUGGUUGUGAGGUGUGUUGUUUUGUAUGGUAGGGAAGAAAUGAGAGAAUGCCAGAAGACUGACACAGACCUCUAGAUGAAUGAGAAUGGUAUGUGAGGUGCCUCUGACUAGGCUAGAAGCCCACAUAUAUACCUUAGUUCAACGGUAACUCCUAGUUUGAUUCUUACAUGUUAAUUGUUCUGGGGGGUGGGUUCCUUUGGGAAUCAAUAAACGCUACUUGAAUUCCAGAACCAGAAAGUAUACACAGACUCACUAAAUCAACAACCUCCUCUUUAAAGGGCACCUUUUAAUCAGAAAUUGACUCAUUUCUAUCUGAUUAUUUGGAUCAAAUAACCAAGCCAACCCACCUACUUGCACAGUCUGGGGAUAAGAUCUGGUAUGAGUCCAGAAGAAAAAGAAACGACUAGGAGAGGGUACCAAAAGCUUAUUUAUUUUUUUAAGGAAACCAGAGUUCAGUGUCAGUGUACUGGUGUCUACAGGAUAGAGGAAGAGAGGUCAGAGAUCGGAAGGAGUAUGUUAAACACCAAUUUUGCCCAUAUAGAAAUGCAGUGAGUGUGCCAUUAAAUGUGAGUAGUCAGUUGUAGAUGUCACUCUGAAGAACUGUGUGUAGGAAAAUUUAUAGUUCUUCAACGCUGGACUUGAUGAUUCAGCUUUAUGUCUCUGUUCCAAAAGAUGUGGUUCCUGAGAGUCGUUCACUAUAUAUAUUAGCAAUUAUUAGCUCCUUUUAGUUAUGGUAAUAUUUAUUUGUGUGUAGGUGCUUGUGUAUGGGUGAGUACAUGAUAGCAUGCAUGUGGCGGUGUGGAGGUUAGGGGACAACUUGGAAUGUUGUAUCUCUCCUUCCAUCAUGUGUGUGAGUCCUGGGAUUGAACUCAGGUCAUCAGGCUGGGCAGAAAGUGUGUUGACCCACAGAACCAUCUCUCCUGCUCCACUUUUUAUUUUUCUUUCAAGAUAGGGUUUCUCGGUGUAGCUGUGGCUGUCCUGCAACUCACUCUGUAGACCAGGUUGGCCUCCACUCAGAGAUCCAUCUGUCUCUGUCUCCCGAAUGGUCAGAUUAAAAGUGUACACCACCACCACCCAGCCCCGCUCCACAGCUUAACAAUUAUUAAUUUCAUCUAUCCCGCUUUCUUCUCCUCUUCAUCUCCUUUUCUCUUAAUGUGUACCCAGCCUCCAAGGGUAAAACAAGAGGGUGACAGGCGAGCAGAAACAAAAAGAAAAGAAAGGACUCUGGCAGCCACUGUCUCAGCUCUGCUUUUAGAGUAAGUGAGGUAGAACAGCUGCAUUACCGGGUUUUUUAAUGACAUGACAUUGCCAACGCAGCAUCCCCAGAUGCUGCUGCGAGUCCACUCUAUUUAUUAUCAAGGUGAGUGGAGUAAGUGAACACUUCUAGAUGUAAAAACACGAGCAUACAGAAAAGGAAAUGAGAAAAGUGUGGAGAGACUGAGAGGAGUUAAAUCUGUAACUCAAUUAGCAUCAAUAAAAUCAACUUACCCAGGAGGAAGGAGAGGAGCUGGCAACAAGCUAAUGAAGAAUGCUGUGAGUCUGAGCGAGGAGCAACUCCAUGGCUCGCUGUGGAGUGCACACAUAUUUUUGCUGGAGUAAAGCAGCUUGUGCACUUGGAAAACAAGGAGGAUGCCAGCUAUUCCUUGAUGGUGAAGGUCUGUGUUGUUUUCUCUUUGAUCAUUUCAGGACCAAAGGCAGGUCAAUAUGCUGGGAACUUAGGAUUGGACUUAAGUCACAUCAAAUUUUAAAAAAGAUGCUUAUUAAUUACAGUUGCUUAGAUGACUCUACUAAGGAAAGAAAGCAGGUUACAAUGGUAAAGUCAACACUACACUUUUUAAUAGCAAUGAUGAAAAUGCCUGAGGAAAUCCCAAUCUUUAGCCCACGCCAAUUCCAAGGACUUGUUAAUAAACAGUAAAGGUGUUUGUGAAGCAACCAUCAGUCAGGCGGGUCACUGGACAUUUUUGAAAACCUUGUUGAAGUAAAAUUACCUUUUAUUCAAAACUAUAUAUUUACUAUGGACAGUUUGCGGCUUUGGGUACAUUCAUAUUUAUAUGGAUAAAACCCAUCAAGAUGAUCAAAGAAAUGGCAUGUCCACAUCUCCAAACCUUUCCCCCACUUCCCUUUUGUAAGAAGUAAGAACACUUAACUAGUCUCCUAAAAUUUUCAUUAUGGUAUUCAACUGAUCUCCAGAACAUAUUCCUCUGUGUAACUGAGCAUUAUGCCCAGUGCAUACUACUUCUUUCCCCUUCUGCACAGAUGCUGUCAGCCACCGGCCAGCCUUGUUUCUGCAAGUCUCACUAUUUUAGAUAACUCAUGUGCGCAAUAUCCUGCAUAUCUGUGCUUCUGUGACCAGCCUUUUUCACUUGGCAUAGGAUCUGCUGGGUUCUGCCAUGCUCCACACAGCGAGAUUUCCUUCUCUUUCAAGGUGGAGGUAUACCAAGUAUGUGCAGAAGUCAGAAGAGGUCAUCAGAUCCCCUGGAACUGGAGUUACAGAGAGCUGCCAUGGAGGCACCAGGAACCAGACUCUGCUCCUCUACAAGACCAGCCAGUAGUCUUAAUUCUGAGCCAGCCCUCCAGCUCUAAGAUUAGAAACUAUUCUAGUAAAAAGCUAUAAGAGAUUGGACAUAUGAAGAAGAGAGAUGGCAUAUGUCACUCAACGCUGGCUGCUUUCCUAUCUCCCUCUGCCACACCAGCCCCAGAUGACCCAAAAGAAGAAUAAGAAUCUGAGGGAGAUUCUCCAAAAUCUAGAGGCUGCCAAAGUACGAGAGGGGCUGGGGAAGGGGCAGGGGGCAACCUGGGUUUUGUUAGUUUUCAAGUCACAGGCACAGGAUCAAGGAAACAAGCCCCUUUGUGUCCACUAUGAAGUAUCUUUCUUUUGCCCCUUUAACUCUUUGAAAAGGUUCAUUGUCACCUUAGCUUUAUGAUCCAGUAGUUCCUGGAAUUGAGUGAGUAAGUUUUCAAGCACUUACCCCACUUGCCUACUGAGGGUUGGGCUUUGUAAGUUGCCCAAGUACCUGGGCUUCGUAGGUUUCCUAAGUACCCGAUAGGCUUCUGCCAAGGGCUAGGAUCCACUUCUCAGACUAUCUAGACAGUCUUCUCUGCCUAUGUCUUCCCAAGCCCCUGCUCAAGAGAAUUAGCUAAGAGACUUAUCUUCUGGUAGUACCCCCAUAUUACUCUGCUUUGGUCCUGUCUUACAGUCUGCAAAAUGAAGAUCCUUUUUUGCACCUACUGUGUUGAAAGAGUUUCUUGAACAGCAGCCGAAUUCACAAUAAAGCUGUGGACAUGAUUAUGCUGGAA